GUUUCGCGUUAGGGAUUGCAGCGGCAUCCUUUUUUAUGUCAGUUCGAGUGUUUUGUGAAGCAUGAGCAAAACGUAUCGAGAACGCAUAAAAAAGAUAUAGCGAAAAGCCCGACCCGAG
rnacentral:sRNA from 1 species